rnacentral:misc_RNA from 1 species
UCCUCGUUUAAGCGAGGCAGUCUGUCCAGAGUGCUCCAGUCUCUCGACCGGGUGGCAACAGGACACAAGGGUUGCGCUCGUUGCGGGACUUAACCCAACAUCUCACGACACGAGCUGACGACAGCCAUGCAGCACCUGUGCACGCUCCCCUUGCGGGGUCGUUGCCCUUUCAGGCUCCUACUACGUGCAUGUCAAGGCCAGGUAAGGUUCUUCGCGUUGCAUCGAAUUAAGCCACAUACUCCACCGCUUGUGCAGGCCCCCGUCAAUUUCUUUGAGUUUUAAUCUUGCGGCCGUACUCCCCAGGCGGGGCACUUAAUGCGUUAGCUUCGGCACGGAACCCGUCGAUAGAGCCCCACACCUAGUGCCCAACGUUUACGGCGUGGACUAC